rnacentral:rRNA from 1 species
AUUGAACGCUGGCGGAAUGCUUUACACAUGCAAGUCGAACGGCAGCACGGACUUCGGUCUGGUGGCGAGUGGCGAACGGGUGAGUAAUAUAUCGGAACGUGCCCAGUCGUGGGGGAUAACGUAGUGAAAAUUACGCUAAUACCGCAUACGAUCUAUGGAUGAAAGCGGGGGAUCGCAAGACCUCGCGCGAUUGGAGCGGCCGAUAUCAGAUUAGGUAGUUGGUGAGGUAAAGGCUCACCAAGCCAACGAUCUGUAGCUGGUCUGAGAGGACGACCAGCCACACUGGAACUGAGACACGGUCCAGACUCCUACGGGAGGCAGCAGUGGGGAAUAUUGGACAAUGGACGCAAGUCUGAUCCAGCCAUUCCGCGUGCAGGACGAAGGCCUUCGGGUUGUAAACUGCUUUUGUACGGAACGAAAAGGUCUCUAUUAAUACUAGGGGCUCAUGACGGUACCGUAAGAAUAAGCACCGGCUAACUACGUGCCAGCAGCCGCGGUAA